CUCAGUAUAGCAGAGGAUUCCCUUUGCGUGAGAUGAUCAAAAUGAGAAGUUGCUGAGGGCAUGAGAAAGGUUUGCGGGACCGUGAGCGUAUAUAGUCACUGAAAAACCACGUUUCAUCACAAAACGCAACUACUCCGGGACAAUCAUUGCAAGUGGAUUUAAAAGUAAGAUUUUAACGAGCACUUUGAAUUUUAAUCGAAGUGGUCGAACAACGUUUUCAUUUUAAGCUCCACGUAACGUAUGGAUGUAUUUUUGCCACUGUGUUGCAGCUUCCGUUCACAACUUUAUAUUUUACCGCAUUUGGCACUUUUACCUUUGUUAGGUAUUGCCGUUUUGCGCACGUGGAGCGGUCUUUUGUAUGGAUGAUACCUAAGCGAUGAGAUAGCGGCUCUCGUUCGUUUGUGGGCAUAUAUUAUGGGACAUCAUGAAUAAUCACCUAGUAGCUGCCAUCAAGAAGAUUGGUUCCCAGCUUGGAUUCCUUGCUGACAAAUUGUCCCAUGGGCGUAUAAUUCCGAAUAUGUCCGAUGUUAUUACAGACGCCCAGUUCAUCGGAGUAUGUGGUGUACUUUAUCUAUUAACAGAUAUAUCGAGGACUGCCCGUUUCUCUGGAUUUUUACAUAUAUGGUUCUGCUUUCGAUACCCAUUUGUCCGUUGUAACGAAGCCUCAUUGUUUGGAUUAUGUAAACGGAUACAUCUAUGGGAUUCAUCAGUUUUAAGCGAUAAUGGAAUACAAGAUGUACGUAUCAUGGAUUAAUAGAAGAUGCUGUGCACUGUUUGACAGUUACAAGCCAGGGAGGUGUGUGAUUGGACACUUAAAGUCAGCCUCCAGCUAUGACCGGCUCCAAAGUCGAUCCUGCAGGCAGUGCCUUGCAACCUGCCAGUCCGGAAAACCCGUUUUCCUGGCAGGGCAUGCUGGCCAUCCCAAGACCCGGAAUACCGCCGUCCAACAACACUGGAUGUUGAUCUCUCCACACCAGGCUCUGUCUUCAUGUAUUGUUUUGGAUCUCCUGAAAGUCCAGCCGGCUGGCAUAGAGGGCGAUGCGCUCGACGUGUGGAAGGGGGCGAGAUGCCCAGCAAAACCAAUGUCGCCACCCCUCGGAGUGCUGAGAUGUGAUUGGCUGUUAGGGAAACGGCCAUGAUUGGCAGUGGCAAGAGGCAGGCCGUGGGGGGGACGAGCCUAGCAGACGAAGAGUCACGGCGAUGAAGAGACAAGCAUGGGCCCUCAGGGGGCCAGGGGGCAGGUUGGGGCCUGAGAUGGCAAGCUGCAGGCGGGCGGGGCAGCAGGGGAACGUGAUGCCUGGCAGGUACCGCACGUCUGCUCUCCGGGGAACAUAGCGCAGACAGAUCUCCCCGACACGUCCUUCCUCCGCCCGGGGGCAGCCGCCAUCACAUCUUUCGCCGGCGGGGGCGGCGUCACGCCCUGUUCCCAAGCCCGAGAGAGAGCCACCUGGAGUUACGGGUGCUGCCGGUAAACAGACCACCUGCGCUGACUCGCCCCCCCCCCCCACCUCGAUGCCCAAGCUCGGGCACAGCGGAGCGCUCCAUGGAAGACGAGGAGUGUGGGAGCGAAGCCCCGUCGGCCCUGGGGAGUAACCCAACACGGCGAGUGCUGCCGCAGAGUCCCGGUACUGUAGCCCUCAUUCCCAGACAAUAAACCGCCAAAUCCCACAGCCACCGUGACCUUCAGCCUUCCCCAGCAACCAGCAAGCACCAGGUCCCAGCCAGUCAGACUUCAGCUAAAAAUGGACUCUGCUGCUUUUGUGAUAUGCAUGUAUAUAUUUUUUUUUCCCUGAUUUGUCUGGCAUUUCAGAGUAGAGGUUUAUGGAGCCGCGAUGAUUUUGUCAGAUGCUGGAGAUGAUGACCUUAAAUGCUACCGGACCUCUUUUACUAAAAGUGGCAGGAGGCCCGGGCCUUGCCCCGGGACGGGAGGAAGCAGGCUCGGUACCAGAAUUCAGCGUCCAGUACCACAAAUGGAGGACUUCAAGGGUCCGGUAGGACCUAAUGCUCACUAGCCAUUGACUUUUUACUGGGUCCCUAUUUUUACGAUAUACCCCAAAAUAUUCAGGGAAUGAAUCGGAAUGGAUUUUUUCUGACAAUCUAUAAAUCAAUAUUGUUAAGCAGCCGUUCACGCUGCUUACCUGGCACUCACUAUCAUUUGGGAUCCCCUGGGAAUUGUAUAAAAUCAGCCCGGCCACAAUCUUGUAAAGUACAAUCAGGAACCUAUGGACUAUGGAGUUGCAGUUGACUCAGAAGACCAUUUUGGUGUCAUUUUGGUUUGGAUGGGCUCACUGGCAGACGGAGCAGACUUCUUUAGGAGUGAAAGCAUGAUGGACUUCAACAUUUCCAGAUAUGAAGGACUGACACCAGCAAGCUAGGGAAAGUGGGAGUUCUUUUAGACACCCAGUUCUCAGGUGUCCGUGCCUCAGGGCAUAUCCUGUUCCUCUUUCAGGCAGAACUGGUUUCUGCAGUGACUUUUAUCCAGCCUGUAAAUGCAAAAUUUUUUUGCAUUAAAAAAGUGUGAUACAUCA